CAGUACUGGGAGAAAUGGAUUGCAAAAUACUAACUGGAGUAAGGGGAAUGGAGAAGAGAGGCAGAGUCCCUGAACUGUCCCUUUGAAUGGAAUCUAAUGCUUGUGAAAGAUGCUGGAUCACCAGGUGCAGAGAUUGAACUCUACCCACUGGAAAGGUUUUUCUACAGCGACAGGAGGUCUUCCCUUGCAUCUCAUGGGAACAUUUAGCGUUUUGAUAAUGCCUCCUUCACAAUGAAGGGAAGAAAGGAUGGAUCAGCAGGGAUGUGCAAUGGAGUG